UGGGGUACGGAAGUGUCACAAUGUGUGGUGUGUGCUCCUCUUAUUUGCACAAGCAUAAGUCCAGGGUCACACGGCUUGGUUUACACUGAGUCACCAGGUCGUUGACACUUUCUGCCGGUCCCCUACGGGACCCUCACUCAGAUCAAUUCUGGACCCCACCGAGGCUGUCGCUGCUAUGUAUUCAAAUGCUAAUUCAAAUACUGAAUCCCAAGAACUGUUGGCCGCAAGAAGACUGAGUUCUCUCUCCAUGGGCUUUUGUUGUGCAAACUUUGCCGAGCACAGUUGAGAGUCUGCAACCAUUUCCUGGUGGCCAUCAAAUCCUUCCUGAAUCUGGAAAAUCUGGGCUGUUUUGAGGUGACAUUGACCCUGCACAUCAGCUUGGCUGAAGAAGCCAGUCAGAGCCAAGAGUAGACACCUGUGUUCUGCAGUCUGGCAGUUCCACAUCAGGAAGGACUCGGGGACAAAUCUGAACCGUGUUCCCAGCAGCCUGCGAGGGUGGCACUGUGGGAGUUCUGUCUCAGCUAAAUCAAGACUCAGUGAUGCUACUCUUCCGCGCCACAGAGGUAGCUGCCAGCUCUGCACGGGGGGUCAGUCAGUCAUCGCCUCCAGAGAGCACACAGACCCCCACACUACUAGGGUGAGAGAGGCAGUGGACGCCGAGACACAGAAAGUUCAAGAAUCCAGCAGUUGUUUGGUCCACAAGGCUGGAUGUCUCUGUUGGUUUUUGGUAUAUAUCAGAAUCCCGAAGAAAAAGAAUGCUCAAAUAGCAGUGAAGGAAGAGACUUGCAGUGAGAGAGACUAAAAGCCUCCUCCUUCUAUGUCCUCUACAUUGGCUGCCAGACAAAAGGGGGCUGGAGAGAUGGCUCAGUGGUUAAGAGCACCCGACUA
rnacentral:sRNA from 1 species